rnacentral:rRNA from 1 species
GACGAACGCUGGCGGCGUGCCUAAUACAUGCAAGUUGAGCGCUGAAGGUUGGUACUUGUACCAACUGGAUGAGCAGCGAACGGGUGAGUAACGCGUGGGGAAUCUGCCUUUGAGCGGGGGACAACAUUUGGAAACGAAUGCUAAUACCGCAUAAAAACUUUAAACACAAGUUUUAAGUUUGAAAGAUGCAAUUGCAUCACUCAAAGAUGAUCCCGCGUUGUAUUAGCUAGUUGGUGAGGUAAAGGCUCACCAAGGCGAUGAUACAUAGCCGACCUGAGAGGGUGAUCGGCCACAUUGGGACUGAGACACGGCCCAAACACCUACGGGAGGCAGCAGUAGGGAAUCUUCGGCAAUGGACGAGAGUCUGACCGAGCAACGCCGCGUGAGUGAAGAAGGUUUUCGGAUCGUAAAACUCUGUUGGUAGAGAAGAACGUUGGUGAGAGUGGAAAGCUCAUCAAGUGACGGUAACUACCCAGAAAGGGACGGCUAACUACGUG